UACGUAGGGACCGAGCGUUGUCCGGAAUCAUUGGGCGUAAAGAGCGUGUAGGCGGUCAUGUAGGUCCGUUGUGAAAACUCGAGCUCAACCUCGAGACGCCGAUGGAAACCAUAUGACUAGAGUCCGGAAGAGGAGAGUAGAAUUCCUGGUGUAGCGGUGAAAUGCGCAGAUAUCAGGAAGAACACCCGUGGCUAAGGCGGCUCUCUAGUACGG
rnacentral:rRNA from 1 species